rnacentral:rRNA from 1 species
UACGUAGGUGGCAAGCGUUGUCCGGAUUUACUGGGCGUAAAGAGCGCGCAGGCGGUCGUUCAAGUCGCGUGUGAAAGCCCCCGGCUCAACUGGGGAGGGUCACGCGAUACUGAUCGACUCGAAGGCAGGAGAGGGUAGUGGAAUUCCCGGUGUAGUGGUGAAAUGCGUAGAUAUCGGGAGGAACACCGGUGGCGAAGGCGGGUCUCUGGGCCGAUAUUGACGCUGAGGAGCGAAAGCGUGGGGAGCAAACAGG